ACCGAGUACGGGUGCAAAUUCACCAAGUACAGGGUGAAAAUUGACCGAGAAAGGGGUGAAUAUUGACCGAGUACAGGUGCAAUUCACAUUUCACCAUUCAGCACAUCUGUACAGUUUAGAAAUGGAAAGUAAGGUUUUAAAGAUUUAGUUAAGAUGGUCA